GUCUAUAGCCACACCACCCUGAACCCGAUGAUUAUCCCGAUGAUUAUCUGAUCUCAGAAACAAAGCAGGAUCAGGCCUGGUUGGUACUUGGAUGGGAGACUGGUUAGGUAAAGCAGCUGACAAACC
rnacentral:rRNA from 1 species